AUGUUGGAAAUUCUGGCAAUAGAACCCUACUAGCUAGGAGUCCCUCUAGCAUCUUUAUGUUUCUUUCAUAGCAUCUAUUCAGAAGUCACAAAACUUCAAGACUUCAAUUUCCUUGUUAUGAGCAGAGGGAUAAAGGCAUGGCUCUGUCUCAUCAUAACAAAUGACCAAAGAUAACAAAACUGUAACUUUUUAUACAGUUUUGACACAGAACACAAUUAAAAGCCAUAUUCAAAAGUUACAGCAGAGUGGAGAAGAAUUUGGAUGUCAAAGUUUUCAGUGCUAUGUUGGGGAUUUAGAGUAUCAACAAUGAGGUUUGAAUGUUUAUUACAUUAUGUGUAUGUAGUAGUACCUUACUGUGUUAAGUUGCAAUUUCCUGAUAACUAAUACAACAGA
rnacentral:lncRNA from 1 species